CCUACGGGUGGCAGCAGUGAGGAAUAUUGGUCAAUGGCCGAGAGGCUGAACCAGCCAAGUCGCGUGAGGGAAGACGGCCCUACGGGUUGUAAACCUCUUUUGUCGGGGAGCAAAGCGAGUCACGUGUGACUCAUUGAGAGUACCCGAAGAAAAAGCAUCGGCUAACUCCGUGCCAGCAGCCGCGGUAAUACGGAGGAUGCGAGCGUUAUCCGGAUUUAUUGGGUUUAAAGGGAGCGUAGGUGGAUUGUUAAGUCAGUUGUGAAAGUUUGCGGCUCAACCGUAAAAUUGCAGUUGAAACUGGCAGUCUUGAGUACAGUAGAGGUGGGCGGAAUUCGUGGUGUAGCGGUGAAAUGCUUAGAUAUCACGAAGAACUCCGAUUGCGAAGGCAGUUCACUGGACUGCAACUGACACUGAGGCUCGAAAGUGUGGGUAUCAAACAGGAUUAGAUACCCUUGUAGUC
rnacentral:rRNA from 1 species